rnacentral:rRNA from 1 species
GUGCCAGCAGCCGCGGUAAUACGUAGGUGACAAGCGUUAUCCGGAAUUACUGGGCGUAAAGCGCACGCAGGCGGCGCAUUAAGUCUGACGUGAAAUCUCCUGGCUUAACUGGGAGGGGUCGUUGGAGACUGAUGUGCUUGAGGCGAUGAGAGGGGUGUAGAAUUCCCGGUGUAGUGGUGGAAUGCGUAGAUAUCGGGAGGAAUACCAGUGGCGAAAGCGACACCCUGGCAUUAGCCUGACGCUCAUGUGCGAAGGCGUGGGGAGCGAACGGGAUUAGAUACCCCUGUAGUCC